GCAGACGAUAUUAGAAAAGGACACUAGAAUAAUUAACAUUUCAGACACUCCUCUCACCAUGAUACAAAGCCAAGUAAUUAUGAAGGGUUUGUCUUUUGUCCCAACUCCUCCAUUCAGUAAAUUUGAAUGGAUCAAAGACAUCAAUUUGUUUGGGAGAAGACUUGCCUUCCAUAAGUUCUUUAAAGUGAGAGAUGAGAAAAU